rnacentral:lncRNA from 1 species
GUUAUACACCAAGUUAUCUUUGCCAAAUUUUCGUCAUCAUCACUUGCCCUUAUAUCUAAUCCAUAUUUUGGACAUCAAUUUAAGGCCUAGUACUCUUUCCUUGAUCAUUUUAUUCACCAUUGAUAUUUCCUUAUUUUCAUACUUCCUGUUGCUUCUAAAACGAUUGUGCAAGUUUCAGGCCAGACUUUUUCGUGAAACUUAAUUAAAGUUGCCAUUAUAUGUCAUCAGCACUGUAACCGCUGGUUAGUUUAUAAGUAUUUCCAUGUUACAAAAAUACAUAAUCUUGUCUGCACUGUCUAUGUGACUUUAUUACUUUUUGCUUUUCUAGAUAUUUUGAGCAAANNN